rnacentral:rRNA from 1 species
AGAGUUUGUUCCUGGCUCAGGAUGAACGCUGGCGGCGUGCUUAACACAUGCAAGUCGAACGGGAAACCUUUUAUUGAAGCUUCGGCAGAUUUGGCUGGUUUCUAGUGGCAGACGGGUGAGUAACGCGUGGGUAACCUGCCUUAUACAGGGGGAUAACAACCAGAAAUGGUUGCUAAUACCGCAUAAGCGCACAGGACCGCAUGGUCCAGUGUGAAAAACUCCGGUGGUAUAAGAUGGACCCGCGUUGGAUUAGCUAGUUGGCAGGGCAACGGCCUACCAAGGCGACGAUCCAUAGCCGGCCUGAGAGGGUGAACGGCCACAUUGGGACUGAGACACGGCCCAGACUCCUACGGGAGGCAGCAGUGGGGAAUAUUGCACAAUGGGGGAAACCCUGAUGCAGCGACGCCGCGUGAAGGAAGAAGUAUCUCGGUAUGUAAACUUCUAUCAGCAGGGAAGAUAGUGACGGUACCUGACUAAGAAGCCCCGGCUAACUACGUGCCAGCAGCCGCGGUAAUACGUAGGGGGCAAGCGUUAUCCGGAUUUACUGGGUGUAAAGGGAGCGUAGACGGACUGGCAAGUCUGAUGUGAAAGGCGGGGGCUCAACCCCUGGACUGCAUUGGAAACUGUUAGUCUUGAGUGCCGGAGAGGUAAGCGGAAUUCCUAGUGUAGCGGUGAAAUGCGUAGAUAUUAGGAGGAACACCAGUGGCGAAGGCGGCUUACUGGACGGUAACUGACGUUGAGGCUCGAAAGCGUGGGGAGCAAACCAGGAUUAGAUACCCUGGUAGUCCACGCCGUAGACGAUGAA